AGAGUUUGAUUAUGGCUCAGGAUGAACGCUGGCGGCGUGCCUAACACAUGCAAGUCGAACGAAGCGCAUGCCUGGAACCCUCCGGGGGGAAGGGCAUGUGACUGAGUGGCGGACGGGUGAGUAACGCGUGGGCAACCUGCCCCGCACUGGGGGACAACAGCCGGAAACGGCUGCUAAUACCGCAUAUGCGCACAGCUUUGCAUGAAGCAGUGUGGAAAACUCCGGUGGUGCGGGAUGGGCCCGCGUCUGAUUAGCUGGUUGGCGGGGCAACGGCCCACCAAGGCGACGAUCAGUAGCCGGCCUGAGAGGGUGGACGGCCACAUUGGGACUGAGACACGGCCCAAACUCCUACGGGAGGCAGCAGUGGGGGAUAUUGCACAAUGGGGGGAACCCUGAUGCAGCGACGCCGCGUGAGCGA
rnacentral:rRNA from 1 species